CGCGUAGGUGGGCGGGUAAGUCGGAUGUGAAAUCACUGGGCUUAACCCAGUAACUGCAUCCGAAACUGUUCGUCUUGAGUGCAGAAGAGGAGAGUGGAAUUCCCAGUGUAGCGGUGAAAUGCGUAGAUAUUGGGAGGAACACCAGCGGCGAAGGCGGCUCUCUGGUCUGCAACUGACACUGAAGCGCGAAAGCUAGGGGAGCAAACGGGAUUAGAUACCCCGGUAGUCCUAGCCGUAAACUAUGAGCACUAGGUGUAGGAGGUAUCGACCCCUUCUGUGCCGCAGCUAACGCAUUAAGUGCUCCGCCUGGGGACUACGGCCGCAAGGCUGAA
rnacentral:rRNA from 1 species